rnacentral:rRNA from 1 species
CGGAGGGUGCAAGCGUUAUCCGGAUUCACUGGGUUUAAAGGGUGCGUAGGAGGGCAGGUAAGUCAGUGGUGAAAUCUCCAAGCUUAACUUGGAAACUGCCGUUGAUACUAUCUGUCUUGAAUAUUGUGGAGGUGAGCGGAAUAUGUCAUGUAGCGGUGAAAUGCUUAGAUAUGACAUAGAACACCAAUUGCGAAGGCAGCUCACUACACAAUCAUUGACUCUGAGGCACGAAAGCGUGGGGAUCAAACAGGAUUAGAUACCCUGGUAGUCCACGCCCUAAACUAUGGAUACUUGACAUACGCGAUAUACAGUGUGUGUCUGAGCGAAAGCAUUAAGUAUCCCACCUGGGAAGUACGACCGCAAGGUUG